AUUGAACGCUGGCGGCAGGCCUAACACAUGCAAGUCGAGCGGAGGAAGGGAGCUGGCUCCUGGAUUCAGCGGCGGACGGGUGAGUAAUGCCUAGGAAUCUGCCUGGUAGUGGGGGAUAACGUCCGGAAACGGGCGCUAAUACCGCAUACGUCCUGAGGGAGAAAGUGGGGGAUCUUCGGACCUCACGCUAUCAGAUGAGCCUAGGUCGGAUUAGCUAGUUGGUGGGGUAAAGGCCUACCAAGGCGACGAUCCGUAACUGGUCUGAGAGGAUGAUCAGUCACACUGGAACUGAGACACGGUCCAGACUCCUACGGGAGGCAGCAGUGGGGAAUAUUGGACAAUGGGCGAAAGCCUGAUCCAGCCAUGCCGCGUGUGUGAAGAAGGUCUUCGGAUUGUAAAGCACUUUAAGUUGGGAGGAAGGGCAGUAAGUUAAUACCUUGCUGUUUUGACGUUACCAACAGAAUAAGCACCGGCUAACUUCGUG
rnacentral:rRNA from 1 species